GUAGUCCACGCCGUAAACGGUGGGUACUAGGUGUGGGUUUCCUUCCUUGGGAUCCGUGCCGUAGCUAACGCAUUAAGUACCCCGCCUGGGGAGUACGGCCGCAAGGCUAAAACUCAAAGAAAUUGACGGGGGCCCGCACAAGCGGCGGAGCAUGUGGAUUAAUUCGAUGCAACGCGAAGAACCUUACCUGGGUUUGACAUGCACAGGACGCUGGUAGAGAUAUCAGUUCCCUUGUGGCCUGUGUGCAGGUGGUGCAUGGCUGUCGUCAGCUCGUGUCGUGAGAUGUUGGGUUAAGUCCCGCAACGAGCGCAACCCUUGUCCUAUGUUGCCAGCGGGUUAUGCCGGGGACUCGUAGGAGACUGCCGGGGUCAACUCGGA
rnacentral:rRNA from 1 species